CGAUGAAGAGCGCAGCCAACUGUGUGAAUUAAUGUGAACUGCAUACUGCUUUGAUCAUCGACAUCUUGAACGCACAUUGCGGCCAUGGGUUAGCCCAUGGCCACGCCUGUCCGAGGGUCGGCU
rnacentral:rRNA from 1 species